rnacentral:sRNA from 1 species
GCUGGGUAAGGUGGCACGUGCCUGUAAUCCCAGUGGCUUGGGAGGCUGAGGCAGGAGGAUUGUGAGUUUGAGGCAAGCCUCAGCAACUUAGCGGGGCCCUGAGCAACUUAGUGAGACCCUGUUUCUA